UUUGAAAAUUCAAGAUACAUGCAGCGUUCAAAAUUAACAUCGGUCCUUGGGCCCGAAGCCGACUGAAAACCACUUGGACACACAGCUUCUGUUUUCUGCAGGUCCUUAUGGCCUUGAUAGCUGGG